rnacentral:rRNA from 1 species
UACGUAGGGUCCGAGCGUUAUCCGGAAUCAUUGGGCGUAAAGAGCUCGUAGGCGGUUCAGCAAGUCGUCUGUGAAAGUCCGGGGCUCAACCCCGGAAUUGCAGUCGAUACUGCUGUGACUCGAGUCCGGUAGAGGAGAACGGAAUUCCCGGUGUAGCGGUGAAAUGCGCAGAUAUCGGGAGGAACACCAGUAGCGAAGGCGGUUCUCUGGGCCGGCACUGACGCUGAGGAGCGAAAGCGUGGGGAGCAAACAGG